CUACGGGACGCUCCAGGCGCGAAACCUUUACAAUGUACGGAAGUGCGAUAAGGGGACUCUUAGUGCUCAUGCAUUGCAUGGGCUUUUGCCAACUGUAAACAGGUUGGCGAAUAAGUGGUGGGUAAGACGGGUGCCAGCCGCCGCGGUAACACCUGCGCCACAAGUGGCAAUCACGAUUAUUGGGCCUAAAGCGUUCGUAGCCGGAUUAGUAAGUCUUGGGUGAAAUCGUUGCGCUUAACAAAACGACGUGCUUGAGAUACUGCCAGUCUAGGGACCGGGAGGUGUUAGGGGUAUUUCCGAGGGAGCGGUAAAAUGCUAUAAUCUCGGGAGGACCACCUGUGGCGAAGGCGCCUAACGAGAACGGGUCCGACGGUGAGGAACGAAAGCUAGGGGAGCAAACCGGAUUAGAUACCCCAGUAGUC
rnacentral:rRNA from 1 species